rnacentral:lncRNA from 1 species
AAGGAAAAUAAAAAGUUGUAAGGAAAAAGUGCAGAUGAAGACGUUGACUGAGCAAGACCAUGCUCAGUUUGUCAGAGAGAGCAAGGGGGUUUCAGCCUUCUUCAUAUUGCCCACACAGUAAUCGGUCUUGGGUUGUUCCCAGAGGGACCAGCCUUCACAGCUUCCCUAACCUCUGCAUUGCCCCAGCCUCAACCAGAUUCUCACAGGCAGCAACGUGGGACUCUUCACGCUCAUCCUACUGCCCUAAGGGAGAAUAUGCAGCUACGUGUUUAAUACCAGUGAUGAACGGUAGCUGA